UGGGACCACACAGACCAACACAUGGUCCCAGGACUCUGGGAAGAGCCCCCAUCCGCUCGCCAGAAGGCAGUAGAGGGUGGACCUGCCAGGCCAGAAGCAUGGCCACACCAGGCGCACACCCCCUCCCCCCGGGCUUGGGCCACCCGGUCGCCCCUCAGCCUCCAGGGACCCCCUUACCCCAGGACCUGCAUGACAUCCCCUCCCUGGGGACGUGGGCAGCCCUCUGAGGUAGCCUCAGGAAUGGAGCCUGUUUGUCCAUCCUCAAGGUCAAGGCCUACCCCUUCUGAAGCCAACAAGACUCUAGUUGGGAAGCCCAUUCCCCUCUCUGACCCAAGGUCAAAACCCACAGGCUGGCUUCAUGCUUUGGGUCAGGAGAUCAGAGCACAUCACCUGGGGUCCCCCACCCCAUUUUCCACAGUCCUCAGACUGAGGGGACCCUUGGGGAGGUGGGCCGCACACCACUCUUCCCUUGCCCAGCAGAGUGUCUCCCAGGAGCGGGAAGGCCGUGGUUUAGGGGGCUGCCACCUGUGUCUGAGCAGCAACCCCCAGCUGGCCUUUAGGGGUGACCACCCAGCCAGACCAGCUCAGAUGGGAAGUCCGUAGAAGCCGAGAGCUAUCCCCUGUCCUGCUCUCCUUUCCCAACCUCUGGGCUUUAUUAGUAGACUACCCCCGGCAAGCCCAUCACUUGGACAUUUUUUAGGGGCUCAUGCCCCAGUGUCCCCAAGAAUCCCAUGUGUAAAGUGCAAGCAGGCUGCCAUUGGCUAAAACACUGCAGAGCACAGCCACUGCCCAUGAGCCAUACUUUGGGGCCAUUGUGGUUCAGGAUGGCCAGGAAAAGGUACUCAGGCUUUCAGAUCCUCAUCUGGGGCUGGAAGAAACAGCUCUGGGUGGCUUCCUAGUACCCAGAUACCCAGCCCCCCACCCUGGGCUCUCCCCACAUUUUCCUGCACUCUUGCCUUGCCAGCUGGUCAGGCCUGUUCCCUGAGGCCCUGCAGAUUGGAGAAGCCAUGUUCAACUCACUGUAAACUCUCUCCCCACGCCCUUCUCUCCUGUGCUCCAGGGGUCCGGCCAGCAUCUCCUCUGCUCAUGUCCUCCCCCUAUCAGGCAUGAGACCUGGGUUGUGGGGAGCUGAGUGUGAGGCCCGCAUCUGAGGCGGACGUGUGCCCAGAGGCUGCAGUGAGAGCUGCUGGCCACCGGCAGACAGGUGGGCAGAUCCUGCCGGGAUCCCCUGCCCCAUUUGCCCCUCUGCCACCCUAGCUGCCCUACUGUGGAGUGAAGGCAUGGGAGCAGAGAACUUGCUGUGGCACCAGGAAAGUUAAGGUGUCCUGGAAAGUGGCCAUCCAAGUGGCUGAGUCUUUAUUCUGCUCAUCUAGCAUAAUGGCCCCCCUUCCAGCUUCCUCCACUGGCCACUUUGCCUCGCAGCCCAGGGGCAGAGCCGUCAGCAGGCCGGGUGGGCACCAUGUCAGUCCAACCCAGGAGCACCUCCCAGAGUGGACAUUGUGCUGGGGAGGGGAGCAUCCAGGUGAUUCAGUGGUUCUUUUAAAGUGAUGCAAAGGUCAGCAUGGGGCCAGGGCGGNNNNNNNNNNNNNNNNNNNNNNNNNNNNNNNNNNNNNNNNNGCUGCUCUGAUACCCACAUGGUGUGCCCCAGGGAGGAGGGCGGGGCAUGUUGCCGAGAGCACUGGGGUUUCACACAAGCGCCUGAGGUGCUGGGGGCUUGCCCUGGCUUCCCUCCACCCCCACUCCAGGAGGAAAGCUCAGCCCUGUUCUGCCUGGGCUCCUGGGCAGUGGUCUGGCUCAAGCAGCCCUCCUCCAGGUGGGCUCCUGAACAGGUGGACCUGAGUGGAGGAUCUGUUUUGUACGUAAUGGAAUGUUUUCAUUUACGGCCCGUUGUCCCAAGUCACAUGGAAACACAGUCUCCUUGGUUUCUCUGCUGUACCUGGAAGGGGAUCCCUGCACGCAGGGGGAGGUGCCAGUGACAGCGCCUGCUGGCAGUGCCCCUCGACGGCCUGGGUCUCCCAUACAGCACUGCCCACCCAGGCUGCCUGCUUUGCGGUGGAGGCAUCUUGUGCCCGCAGCAUCUCCUCCAAUGCCACGGGGCUGGGGCUCCAGGGGAGGGGUGGCCCCCACCCCCGGGCUCUUCCCAGGAUGGAGAGACAGAAGAAGCAAACAUGCAGUGAGCCAGCAGCUCCCCGCCACACAGGCCUGCAACAUCCUCUCUUGGAGGAAGAGCCAGAGACGACAGAACUGUCCGAACAACGAGUCUGUGAACUUUUUUGGGAACUGGAAGUGUUUAACUUGAACCCAGGAGCGUUUAAAGCUUUAUUUAUUUAUAGCUUCUUAUUAAAAAAAAAAAAAAGUGUUGAGAAGAAACCUUUUGGUUACUCAUACAAAAAAAUGAGUCAAUGAUGGAAAAGCAAGUCAUAAUCAUCUAAUUGUUUUUGUCUAGGUCAAGAUGAAUGUUAGCAGAUGAAAUAAACCCUGAAAAGGAACGCUGGUGUGUGUGGUCUGUGGUCACAUAGCAACCCGCCUGGUGAGGCGCCGUCCUGCUUUGGUUUCGAAAAGAGCAUCUGUGAGCGCAGGAAUCACACAGGAGCAGGCAGGCUUCCUUGGGGGUGGGCAGCCCAGUAAGAGAGGAGUUAACAUGCUGUCACUAAGUCAGACCUUGUGAAAGUAAGAGAUGCGACUGUCCUCACCUCAAAGGGUAACGUGUCAGUCGUUAAUUAGAGGAUUUGAAAGGAUGAGCCCAGCUUAAAGGAAGGCUAAGAGCACCGUGGGCCCCGUGUGCUUAUUUUCUCAGUGAGCUUCUUCCCCCCCCCACUUUUUUGUUUUUUUGUUUUGGCCACACCCACAGCAUGCAGGAGUUCCCAGGCCAGGAGUUGAACCUGAGCCACAGCAGUGACUACGACAAAUGCUUAACCUCUAGGCUGCCAGGGAACACCUAAACUUUUAAUUACGAAAGAUUGCUAGUGACAGGUUGAAAGAGUAGUUCAUGGACACCAUAAACCCUUUGCCAAGUUCACCUGGAUUAGCAUCGGGUCCCUUUUUUUAUCCUGCAUUCCCACUCGCUUUCUGCUUCUAGACACACACAUCGUGCAUGUUCACACAUGGACACACGCACCUUUUCCCAAAACAUUGAAAAUAAGUUGCAAGCCCCAGAAUACUUACUAAAUACUUCAGCAAUACCUCCUAAAAAUGACAUUCUGCCAUACACACACACACACACACACACACACACACACACACACACGCAAACCACUAUCCUAUUCCUAAAAUUUAACAUAUUAGCUGGUGUACAGUCCCCAUCUCAAUUUGGACAUGCAGUUGUCCCCACAGUGUCUUCAGAAUAAUUUUGUGAUACUUGCAGUGCUCAGCUGUCACCUCCCACUUUUUUUCUUCUUUUUUGCUCUUUAGGGCCACACGUAUGGCACAUAGAGCUUGAAUCGGAGCUGUAGCCACCAGCCUAUGCCACAGCCACACCAGAUCUGAGUCGGAUCUGCGACCUACACCACAGGUCAUGGCAACUCCAGAUCCUUAAUUCACUGAGUGAGGCUAGGGAUCGAACCCGUGUCUUCAUGGAUACUAAUUGGGUUUGUUACCACUGAGCCACGACAGGAACUCCCUCUUCCACCUUCUUUAACCCCGCAGAGUCCCUCUUCACCCUCUUCUUCACCUCUCUUAUCGUGGACACUGUAACAUAGGCUGGUUGUCUCCACACAGGUCUGUUUUCUCAUGAUUCAGUUAAACGUUUUGGGCACCCAUGCUGCAGGAAGGCGGUUCUCUGGCUGCUAGCAGCGAUGAAUUUUAGUCCUCUGUCCCAUGGAAUGGAGAGGGAGGCCCUGGCUUGCUCUCUAGGUCGUGAUGUGAUCACCACAGGGCUUACUGCUUUUUCUUCAUGGAAAUGGAUCCGCUGUGCCUGCAGGUGGGGCUGGUAGUUGCUGCAUGGGGUGAGGGCUGGGGGCCUCGGGUACUGGCCCCUGCACCUUCCCCGGCAGGUGCUGUCACGUGCAAGACUCUAGGAAGACGGUGUUCAGAGCCCCAGGCCAGUGGGGCCUCCUUUUCCUCCCCUCCCAGUCUGUAUCUGGAUACCUCAUCCUUGGACCUGUGGUAGAAAGAAGAAGGAGGAGGAGUUCCCAUCAUGGCGCGGUGGUUAACGAAUCCGACUAGGAACUAUGAGGUUGCCGGUUCGAUCCCUGGCCUCACACAGUAAGGAUCCGGCCUUACUGUGAGUGAUGGUGUAGGUUGCAGACGAGGAUCUGAUCCCGUGUUGCUGUGGCUCUGGUAGGCCCUUGGCUACAGCUCCGCUUCGACCCCAGCCUGGGAACCUCCAUAUGCCACGGAAGUAGCCCUAGAAAAGGCAAAAAGACAAAAAAAAAAAAAAAAAAGAAGAGAACAGGGGGGCCAGGGCUCACACACCAC
ensembl:lncRNA